GGUCCGGUGGCGGAAGGUCCGCACCCGCAAUCUUUCAUUUAGUGGUGAUAUCUUGAUAAUGCGGCGGGAGACGCUCGUUCGACUCGAGCCUGGGCCU